CUCCAAGUGAUCACCCUUGAUCCUAGAGUGAAAACAUUAGUUGAAACACUCAGUCUAUUAUCCAGUGAGCUUGUCUAAUCACUAUCCGUAUACCCACACACCUAAAAUUAGAAACUUUAGAAUACCAAAUGCCAUAUUCUAAGGUUCCAGUAAUAUAUCGUAAGACCUUUUUUGCUACUCCAUAAUGAACCUUUGAAGGUUGUUACAUAUGGAAAUAACACUAGUAGGAAAUACAAUAUCGGGUUUAAUGUGAGGUAGAUAAAUUAAACCAUCAACCAAGCUUUUAAAUCUCUUAGCAUCUACU
rnacentral:lncRNA from 1 species